rnacentral:rRNA from 1 species
UACGGAGGGUGCAAGCGUUAUCCGGAUUCACUGGGUUUAAAGGGUGCGUAGGUGGGUUGGUAAGUCAGUGGUGAAAUCUCCAGGCUCAACUUGGAAACUGCCAUUGAUACUAUUUGUCUUGAAUACCGUGGAGGUCAGCGGAAUAUGUCAUGUAGCGGUGAAAUGCUUAGAUAUGACAUAGAACACCAAUUGCGAAGGCAGCUGGCUACACGAAUAUUGACACUGAUGCACGAAAGCGUGGGGAUCAAACAGG